ACUGUUGGACAGGGGCGCCGAGAGGCUGAGAUGUGCAGACGCACGGUCCCUUCGAACCUGAACUGGGUCAUGCCAGCGUAGGGAGUUCCGGCUGGACAGAC
rnacentral:ncRNA from 1 species